UACGUAGGGUGCGAGCGUUUGUCCGGAAUUAUUGGGCGUAAAGAGCUCGUAGGCGGUUUGUCACGUCUGCUGUGAAAUCCCGAGGCUCAACCUCGGGCCUGCAGUGGGUACGGGCAGACUGGAGUGCGGUAGGGGAGAAUGGAAUUCCUGGUGUAGCGGUGAAAUGCGCAGAUAUCAGGAGGAACACCAAUGGCGAAGGCAGCACUCUGGGACGGUACUGACGCUGAGACGCGAAAGCGUGGGGAGCAAACAGG
rnacentral:rRNA from 1 species